UGGAAAGCACAGGGAUCGUAAGACCUCGCGUUAAUGGAGCGGCCGAUGCCGGAUUAGCUAGUUGGUGAGGUAAAGGCUCACCAAGGCGACGAUCCGUAGCUGGUCUGAGAGGACGACCAGCCACACUGGAACUGAGACACGGUCCAGACUCCUACGGGAGGCAGCAGUGGGGAAUUUUGGACAAUGGGCGCAAGCCUGAUCCAGCCAUUCCGCGUGAGUGAAGAAGGCCUUCGGGUUGUAAAGCUCUUUCGCAAGGAAAGAAAACUUAUCUCCUAAUACGAGGUGAGGUUGACGGUACCUUGAUAAGAAGCACCGGCUAACUACGUGCCAGCAGCCGCGGUAAUACGUAGGGUGCGAGCGUUAAUCGGAAUUACUGGGCGUAAAGCGUGCGCAGGCGGUUUGUAGUCAGAUGAGU
rnacentral:rRNA from 1 species